UUUUAGGCCUUGUGGAUGUAUGGGUAGAUACUAGGUCUUUUAGGCCUUGUGGAUGUAUGGGUAGAUACUAGGUAUUUUAGGCCUUGUGGAUGUAUGGGUAGAUACUAGGUCUUUUAGGCCUUGUGGAUGUAUGGGUAGAUACUAGGUCUUUUAGGCCUUGGAUGCAUCUAUAGAUACUAGGUAUUUUAGGCCUUGGAUGUAUGGGUAGAUACUAGGUAUUUUAGGCCUUGGAUGUAUGGGUAGAUACUAGGUAUUUUAGGCCUUGUGGAUGUAUGGGUAGAUACUAGGUCUUUUAGGCCUUGUGGAUGUAUGGGUAGAUACUAGGNUUUUAGGCCUUGUGGAUGUAUGGGUAGAUACUAGGUCUUUUAGGCCUUGUGGAUGUAUGGGUAGAUACUAGGCCUUGGUUGGGAUAGAUGCCAUCUUCACUGGAAGAGGCAGUCACACCCAACGGACUAUCUAAUUGGGACAAAUUUAGUCAAAUGACUGAUUAGUCAGGUUGAAUUGCUGUGUGUCUGUGUGAAUGUGUAUGUGUGUUUUUUUCUGUUUAUUGCAGUUGAAAAAAGUUUGACAAGUUUGCAGAAAACAGUGAGAAAUGUGCUGGUAGCAUAAACCUCUCAUCAUCAUGGUAAUAUCAGGCUACAAUCCAUGGCAGCAGCUCCAGUGACAAUGUAUCAGCUAUUUCCCAACACAUACAGUAGGGUGCUGAAUACCAACCAGUUUUAGACUGAACGUGUUACACAUCAAUCAAAUGUGACAAACAAACAGUGUUAUUUUGUAAUAUGUAUAUUCAGCGCUUUCGGAAAGUAUUCAGAUGCCUUGACUUUUUCCACAUUUUGUUACGUUACAGCCUUAU